GACUCUAUGUAUCCCGAAAUCUUUCCAGGCUAGUAAAAACUCCAUUUGUUCAGGAAUUUAUUCAUUAUUUCUCAGCAAAAUGCAGGUCAGUUUUACUGUGCUUAAGGGAAAAAAAUAAAAGCACAAACACAUGCCUAAUCUAAUUUGUAGCGAUCAAGAUUUAAGAGGAAAUGGGGAAGGGUUGGAGAAAGAAGUUUUUUUUUAAAAGAACACUCAGAGAGACAUAACACUUGUAGCAUCUUAAGACUUAAACACAAGCUCUUGAUGUAAUGUUCAGUUGUUCCUUCUUCACUGGCCCCAAGUUGUUUUUUUUUUUUUUUUUUUUUUUUUUAGUACAAACUCAUGCAAAGAAGAUUCUUAUAUCAGAAUCACUCAUUUGCCUUAGAAUGGCCAGUAUCCUUCUGUCCUCUCAAAAGAAAGUAUAAGCCUUCUUUAUAAAACUUCAGAGGUUUUGUGUUGGUGGCCAAAGACCAGAAAACUAGAAACUUUUUCUUUGUAGUUUAUCUUCCCAUGGUAACCAGCCAACCUCACUGUCCACCCAAGAGUCCAUCCUACCAGAAACUCUAGCUAAAAAUUUAGGACUAACAUGGAAGCAUAAUAUAUUGAUUUAAACUAUAACUUACUUAACCAUUUCUUCAGUAGAAAGCUCUGGAAAGAAUGAGAAAAAUUUUUAAAAUAAUUUCAAACUAGCACAAAUGAAUCUGAUAGGUUCUUCGAACUCAGGAGCAAGUGCUAUUUAAGAUAAAUGAAAAUAUUAAAUAUCUAUAAAAAAAUUGUAUUUGCUAUGAGAAGCAUCCAUAUUUUUAAAAUUCCGUAAUGAAAAACUCUAAAGCUGAUGGCCACAGAAUAACUGUACUGAAUAACAAAGACUUAAUUAAAGGAAUUCAUAGCUACAAAUUAUCUGGUGAAAUUCCAUGUGCAUACCUCCUUCCAAGUCAAACCCAUCAUUUUGUUUAAGUCUGAAAAACCAAAACAAAAGUGCUGCAAAGUAAGGAAAGUGUGAGUAUGAAGAAUGAGCCUACAUCUUACACCAGUUUCUGCUUUCUGGAGUUAAUUUCACAAAAAUCUCCUGGGAAUGAAGGGAGUGAAGAAACCAGCAGCCUCUGGAAAAUGAUGAGUCUUGCUGCAGGUUUGGGAAAAGAUGUCACCCCCAUUACUGUAUCCAAAUAGUCCUGGGAGCUGCCUUGUAAAUCCCUGUGUGGUGAAGCAAUUCCUCUCAUUCCACAUGUAACCCAGAGCAGUGCAGUGUGGAAAAUAAGUUUCCAAUUUUUAAUACAGACUUUUAUGACUAUCAUAUUUUCAGAAAAUAAACUCUGAAACAGACAGAGCUGGUAGACAGACAUGAGGUAGCACUGGGGCAUGGAAUGAAUGGUGCUUGGCUUGCUCACGUCCUGGGAAGAGUCACAGAGAAUGAAAUGUGUGUGGGGUGUGAAACAGGAGAACAGGAGUAAUGCUUCAAAUCACAUGGCCAUUAGAAAGCCUUCAAUGGAAAGAGGUUCUAGUUUCUUUCGUUUUUCCCCAUAGUAAACCUACCUAAGAAAAAAGCUCUUCUAUUUGAAGAGUGAAAUUUAUAAAUGGGCAUAAAAUACAGCCUAUUUAGGUAUCAGGUUAAAAUACUGAUGUAGUGUCCAAAUGAUCAAAAUGGAAUUAUGUUUCACACUAAUUUUAAUAUCUUUGAAGGCAAAAGUUGUUUAUUUUUUUCUAUAACAUAUAACAGUUUGGUUCUCAUAAUCACCAAAUAAGCAUUUUUUUUAUCAUUGCCAUGUUAUUAAACAGUAAUGGAAUGAUAAUAUCAACUGGAUAAUAAUGUUGGAUAAUAACAUCAAUAAUCAUUCGAUGAGCUCCUACAAUUUGUUAGGAGCCAUACUACUACACAGGUGGUUUAUAUACAUGAUAGUCUUCAAAAUAAUUAUUUAAGGUAAAUAUUAUUUUUCCAAUUUUAUAGAUGAACCAAGAUGUAAAAAAAUCAAGAAAAUAGCCCAAAAAUAUACAAAUAUAAUUUGCAAAAUCUGAAUUUGAAAUCAGUUUACUUUUAUUUGAAUAACUACAGAGUGUGAGAGAUAUUUUUUAGAUUUUCAAAAAUAAUACUCAAGUGGAAUACACACAUGGAAUAACCAUUGUGUACCAAACACAUAAAAUAAAUUUAUGAAAUCAAGUGGAACCUAGAAAGCAGACUUAAAAAAAAGGAUAAGUGUGUGUAUGCCUGUGUGUAGUGGCAGGUAAGAACUAGAGGCAAUUCCUUAUUUUGAGGCAAAAAAUGACAGCUACUAUGACUUAAAUUCUAGAAAUGGGCCACAUCAUGGAAAGUCUUGAAUGCCUUGCUUAGGAGCUUGAACAUUAUUUUUUCUCAAGUUAUUGGGAAUUAAUGGAAAGUUUUAAGGAAGGUAAUAAUGUGAUCAUACUUUAAUUUUAUAUUACAGUGGCGAAAGAGGAGGUCUAUAUAGGUGUGGGUGGGAAGUAGCCACGUGGAUGGCAAGGAGACAAACUUAGAUGCCACUGUGGUAAACUGCAGUGAUCCAAGGAUUAUUGCAAUAAUGAUGGUGAGAGCCUAAACUGAGGCAUUGGUAGUACAGAGGACAGGAGGUAUAUCUGGGAAGGAAUUAGCCGGUAAAAUGGUAGAAUCUAAUGACUGAUUAGAUUUUUGCUUGAAUAACCAGGUAGGAUGAUGUUGCCAUUAACUGACAAAAAGAAUACAUGAGAAAGAUGAUCCUGUCUUAGACGGAAGAUACUGAGUUGCGUUUUGGACACUGAACUUGAAGUGGCCAUGGACCACCCAGUGGGAAACUGGGUAUUCUGAAGUUCAUGUAGAACGUCAGGAUUGGAAAGAGAGAUCCAAGAAUGAUCAGCAACCGGCUAUUAAGAAAAACUCUGAGUGAGUAAGAUUCUUAGAUAAUCUAACACACGGAGAGGACUAGUGGACUAACUCCUAUGACAAAACAAUGUGCUAAGGAUAAAUAAAGAGAAGAAGACCAUUAAACUGAGAGGAAAAGGUCAGGAAGGUAUAGGGAGAACCUUCAGAGAGUAGCCUUUCAGGAAAGUUGGAGUGGUCAGUGGUAGGUGAAAGGACCCCAGUGGAACAUCACACAUUUCAGUUCUCCUCUUAUUAGACCAACUUAAGUGGAAUGGAGAGGGUUUGUGGGAUGUGCACACAGUCAGAGUACAGUUGGAUGAGUGAGGGCAUGGAGGCAGAUAGAAAACUGCACUGCUCCUUUAAAGCAACUGAACUUUUCAUUUAAAGGGAGGGUGGGAGCCGGACACAGGCCCUGGGAGAGAGCCGAGCUUGUUUACAGGCUAAGGGGAAAAAGCUCAUACAAAGGAAGCUGUUGAAGCUAUGGAAAAGAGAGCAUGAUUGAUGGAGCAAGUUCCCCCAGGAUAUGGAGAACAAACAAAAUACAGAAGGAGAACAAAUCCAUAAGGUUCCUCAAAACAAAAUCAAAGAUCUGGUAAAAGUAAAAAAAAAAUAUACCACCAAGGUCUGUAUCUGUGAUGACUGAAAUCAGUUACAAUAUUACUUUCUGUGUCUCAUUUAAGUGCUCUAAAACUAUCUUCAGGUAAAGUUCCCAAAUGACCCUCCUAAUAGUCCUACCAGAUUGACAGGGGUGUGUAUAAUUCCAUCAAUAUCAGAUGAGCACCCAAAGGCUCACUGAAGUUAAGGGACUCUGCUAAAUAGCAGAAAUGGACCAGAAUCCAGGAGUUCUCUCCAAUGAUAGAUGGACCAUGGCUUACUUUACUUUCUUAAGUAUAAAGACUAAAAUGAGCCUAUGAUGCUUAUCUUGCAAGUAAUGUUUUGAAUAACCCAGUCUACUGUCAUCUUGAAACUGAAUUUAUAAUUCUGAUUGAAUGGACACCUGGGAAAAAAAGAUAAAACAAAAAAAAAAAGAAAGAAAAAAGAAAAACAACUAUAAAAAUGUUUUUCCUUCUCCCUAUAUCUAACUAAUACAAAAAAAAGAUAUAAAUAUUUUUGAGCUUGAAAAUUAUAGCAGAACCUAGAGGGACAAAGUUCCAUUAUUUUAUUAAUAUUAAUUUAUUAAUAUUGCUAAUAUUACUGACUUAUCUGUAGAAGGAAACACAUGGGUAAGGAAAAUCUUGUUCCUUAGAGAACAUAUAAAAUAUAAGUGAAUUUCUGUUGAAGGAUUAUUUUUAAACAUACAAAUAAAAUAAAAUAAAAACACCAAGGUUGCCAAUGUAGUCACAACUUUAAGGCAAAAUUUUCCAUUGGCUAGAUGGCCCUCCAUGCAAAUGUCAAGAAUUCAUGCUGUUUUAAAUAUGGAGUUCCCGUCAUGGAGCAGUGGUUAACAAACCUGACUAGGAACCAUGAGGUUGCAGGUUCGAUCCCUGGCCUUGCUCAGUGGGUUAAGGAUCUGGCAUUGCCGUGAGCUGCGGUGUAGGUUGCAGACGCGGCUCGGAUCCCGCGUUGCUGUGUCUCCGGCAUAGGUUGGUGGCUACAGCUCCAAUUGGAUCCCUAGCCUGGGAACCUCCAUAUGCCGUGGGAGCGGCCCUAGAAAAGGCAAAAAGACCAAAAAAAAAAAAAAAAAAAGUUUAAAUAUUGAAUAUAAUGGCUCAUCAGUCUUAAAUGAAAUUUAGAAAAAAUUCACCUAGAGACUCUCAUACUGAGUGAAAGAAGUCAGAAAGACAAAUACCAUAUGAUAUCACUUAUAUCUGGAAUCUAAUAUAUGGCACAAAUUAACCUUUCCACAGAAAAGAAAAUCAUGGACUUGGAGAAUAGACUUGUGGUUGCCAAGAGGGAGGGAGUGGGAUGGAUUGGGAGCUUGGGGUUAAUAGAUGCGAACUAUUGCUUUGGAGUGGAUAAGCAAUGAGAUUCUGCUGUGUAGCACUGAGAACUAUGUCUAGUCACUUCUGAUGGAGCAUGAUAAUGAGAGAAAAAAGAAUGUAAACAUGUAUGUGUAACUGGGUCACCACGCUGUACAGUAGGAAAAAAAUGUACUGGGGAAAUAAUAAAAAAAUUUAAAAAAAAAGAAAAAAUUCACCUGAAAUUUAAAUGGAAGGAAAUUUGAAUUGUCAAUAUGUUCCCAGCAAUUCCAUCAUCUUAUAUAAACUUGUGCAACUUGCCCAAAUUCAUACAAUAGGUCAAUUAAUAAUUAACAAUUUUAGUCUUUUUAUCCUACAAUUUCCUCUCAUGUGCCAAUCUAAACUUUUCAAUGCUGAAAUCUCAGAGCAAAAAAAAGACUACAGUCAAAAAGUGAUCCAUUUUUAAACAUUUUAUAAGUCGCCAUAUAAGGCUAAGUGAUGAUGCAUGAAUUAUCCUUCAAGCAGGAUUUUAAAAAAGAAAAAAAACCCAGAUUAACAUGACUUCAAUCUUCUAAGUCCCCUCUUCUCAAAACAAAGCAUUCUCUAUGUUUUUACCUCAUAUAUUGUGUUAGGUGCAUUUCUAGAAUGAUGAACACAAUAAGUGUUAGGUCUGUGGUGAUAUGAUAGAAGUGUAAAGAGAAAGUAAGAGAGAGAAAAUGAAAACUAUAUAUUCACCUGUAAACAGAUUAAUAGUGCGUGCCCUUUGGUAGCAGAAUAUUCAUCUAACCCACCAUGAGGAGGACUUGGGCCUUGAGCUGCUUUUCCAGAGAUAACGAUGAAUUUGCAAUGGUUUACCUACAAACUUUAAUUAGGCAACCUUAUAACUGAAAGGAAUAACUAGAAUAGUAAGUUAUUACCAAAGUCACAGUGUUCAGCCUUGGAACAGGAAAGCAACUAGUAUCCACAUCAAGAUCAAGAGUGUUAGGUGGAUUUUCACCACAGUGGUUCACAGCAUGAAUCAGAAUCACCCAGAGAGCUUCCCACCCAUAGCUAUAAAUCAGGAUAUAUGGAAAUGAGGGGAGCCUAGAAUCUAUAUUGGCAACCACUUCUUCAGGUGAUUCUUCAUGCAGCCAGCUCAACAUUGAUCUGUGGAUUGUUUACCUACUAACCUAAAGAAUCAUAGUCCAAGUAUACAUCAUGUUUGUCAAUAUAAAAAAUUUGUUAUAUCUAUCAAUCUACCAAUCUACAUAUAUAGAGUGAGAUACUCUUCAAAAUAAAGCCUCAUUCUAGUUUGAAUAAAAGUUAUAGUUACUUCUAAAUUUAUCUGAUGAGAAUAAGGAAAGAACUGUAACCUAAUAUUUAAGUGCCAUCCAGUAUUCUUUGCUUUAUAAUCUGCUCAGAAAUAAACAAUAAGCAGAGUAGAAUUGUUUACUCAACUAUAUUCUGCCCACUAAAACCAGAAGAUCUAUUCCACUGAAAGUGGCUGACAAUUAUACUCACUGUGGUCGGGCUUGUAGUUGCCCCCUAAUAUCUAUUUGCCCAUUUAUAUCCUUCAUAAUAUAACUCUAUUUAGUAGAGUACAUUGCCAGUGCUACCUAGCUAAGACUAUGUUUCCCAGAAGCCCUUAGAGCUUUGUGAGACCAUAUGACUAAAUUCUAGCUAACUUACAAGUAAGUUGAAAUAUGGGGAUUUAAUAGUCUCCAUUUAAAAAGAGGGAAUUUUGUCUCCCAUCUUCUGUCCAGAUGCUUGAAGGUAAAUAUAAUGGCUGGAACUCUAGCAGCUGCAUAGGAAUAUAACAAGGGCUGUCCCCUAAAGAUAUGAGAGCUGGAAAAAAACUGAAUCCCUAAUUUGUAGAGCUGGUAUACCAGCUUUUCACUACAUAACUAAAAGCUUAUUUUAUGUAAGCAAAAAACAAAACAAUAUUUUUUUUGGUUUAAACUACUGCAUUCUGCUAUAAGCACCUGAACAUUGAUUAAAACAUCCACUGCAAAAGCAGAGUUUGCAUACCCUACAUGAUCUGAAGUAUCUAUGUCAACAGUAAUGAGUUUAUAACAAUCUAUGAAUGAACAAGUAUCUUAGGCUAUGUAUUCAUAUUCUUAAUCUCCUUUAAAAUGAACCCAUCCAAACACUAGUGUUAAUCAUUAGUUUCUUCAUGUUUGUUUUUAACAAUGAGAUAAAUGGUAGAUAUAAUAAAAAAUAUAGGGGACUAUGCUAUAGAAAAGACCAUGAGCCCCUCACUUCUUAGCCCCUCACAACUUAGCCAAGCAGAAGUUGGCUUGGGUCCAGGAUAUUAGUGUAGAGCUGCAACAAGAGGGUUGCAAAUUUAUGGUCCAUGAGCCAGACUUGGCACCCAGAUAUAUUGCAUUUGGCUUAUGCAACACUUUCUGAAAACAUUAGAUUUGAAUGCCUUCAAGUGGGCAUGCACCUUCAGUUCUCCACAGGCCCACCAUCCCCUGAUGAUGUACGAACACCCGCUUGCUUCACUUGUUGAUGUUACCUGCCUGGUCUCUGAGAAGCAUUGACGUUUAUAGUCUCUGGAAAGAAAAUGAUGAAGAAAGGAAAUUGAGACUCACAGAAGCUAAAUAACUCAUGUCAAGUCAUACUAGACAUGUCAAGAAAUGACAAACUUGUCAAGAAAUGGCUAGAUCCAGCAUCAUCUCUACUUCCAUGGUUUUGGAAUGAGAGGAAUACAGAAAAUUGUUCCUGGGACAUCUGAAAUCUCCUCUCCAUAAAUACAUAGCUAAAACCAUCAAGGGACACAAAACAUUUGGCAAUUCCUUUCCCUCCAAACUAACUAAAAUUAUUUGUACACACAUUUACUUGUAAGAAGAGAUCCUUUAUUAAUUCACAUCUUGUAGUCAAUCUCUAAGGCCCAUCAUCUGGCUCCAAAAAACGCAACAUGCUUAAUUUACUAAAUGCAUUCUGGAUUCUCCUCAAAUUUUUAUGAAUCUGUUAAAAACUCUCCAAUUAUUUCAA